rnacentral:rRNA from 1 species
CCUACGGGUGGCAGCAGUGGGGAAUAUUGGGCAAUGGGCGCAAGCCUGACCCAGCAACGCCGCGUGAAGGAAGAAGGCCCUCCGGUUGUAAACUUCUUUUUACAGGGACGUAGCAAGUCACGGUACCUGUUGACUAAGCCAAGGCUAACUACGUGCCAGCAGCCGCUGUAAUACGUAGGGUGCAAGCGUUAUCCGGAUUUACUGGGUGGAACGGGCGUGUAGGCGGGAGAGCAAGUCAGACGUGAAAUGCCAGGGCUCAACCCUGGAAUUGCGUUUGAAACUGUUCUUCUUGAGUGAUGGAGAGGCAGGCGGAAUUCCGUGUGUAGCGGUGAAAUGCGUAGAUAUACGGAGGAACACCAGUGGCGAAGGCGGCCUGCUGGAGAUUAACUGACGCUGAGGCGCGAAAGCGUGGGGAGCAAACAGGAUUAGAUACCCGUGUAGUC